UUUUACUUUCGUUUCAGUCCAGUGGUUGAAACAUAAUGUAGUUCAUGAUCAAAAUUCGUAACAAACAGUAGACAGUUUAGGUGAUUUCUGUCGAAAAUAGAAAAACACCAACACCGUUGAUUUUAGCCUCUUUCUUUUUAUUACUCAACUAUUGGGAUAUUGAAGAUAUUACUUUAUUGAAACAGAAAAAGGAAUCGCAUAGUACCUUCAGCAUUAUUCAUCCGACAAGAGGUAUAGGAAGUUUUAUGUGAAAGUUCACUUUUAAUGGAGGUUCUUGAGAAACUUUAAUUUUUGAAAUUCAGUCAGUUAAAAGUAGGUAAGAUGUUGAAUAUUCUUGGACCAUAAAA